ACGGGUGAGUAACACGUGGGUAACCUGCCUCAAAGUGGGGGAUAGCCUUUCGAAAGGAAGAUUAAUACCGCAUAACCCAUAGCUUCCGCAUGGAAGCAAUGGUAAAGAUUUAUCGCUUUGAGAUGGACCCGCGGCGCAUUAGCUAGUUGGUGAGGUAACGGCUCACCAAGGCCACGAUGCGUAGCCGACCUGAGAGGGUGAUCGGCCACAUUGGAACUGAGACACGGUCCAGACUCCUACGGGAGGCAGCAGUGGGGAAUAUUGCACAAUGGGCGCAAGCCUGAUGCAGCAACGCCGCGUGAGUGAUGAAGGCCUUCGGGUUGUAAAGCUCUGUCUUUGGGGACGAUAAUGACGGUACCCAAGGAGGAAGCCACGGCUAACUACGUGCCAGCAGCCGCGGUAAUACGUAGGUGGCAAGCGUUGUCCGGAUUUACUGGGCGUAAAGGGUGCGUAGGUGGAUAUUUAAGUCAGAUGUGAGAUCCCUGAGCUCAACUCAGGGCCUGCAUUUGAAACUGGAUGUCUGGAGUGCGGGAGAGGUAAGUGGAAUUCCUAGUGUAGCGGUGAAAUGCGUAGA
rnacentral:rRNA from 1 species